rnacentral:lncRNA from 1 species
GCUCCCACUUUCCCAUGAUACCAAUAUCACAAAACAGCAGGGGACCGUGCAUUGAUAGCCCAUGUGCAUCUAACUCCCAGCUCAGUGCACUGCACAGAAUCAGUGCUCAGUAAAUGUUUGUUGAACAAAUUGAAUCAACAUUUAUAUUAACCACUUGCAAUGCAGCAAGGUACAGUUUCUCACUUCAAGAAACUCAGUUCUAAACAGAAGGAGAAGGACAAGUAUGUAAAAAAUGAAACAAUGUAGAACAUGAAUGAGGAGUAAAGAAGAUUCCUUGGAAAAGAACUCUGGGAGCCAAGUCUUAAAGAAUGAGUGAGAGAUAUAUUUGGCAUUAAACUCGGGACAAAAGAAGACACAAACUUUAUCUUGUGGUUUGGGUCCUCCAAUCCUCAUAAAAGUGUGGUUUCACCUGUUACCUCAUAAAGGUGCCAUUGCUGUAUGCACAUCUGAAUCUGUUUACAAUUUGAGAAUAGAGAUUAUUGCCUGCUCCUCCAAGCCCUUCACUGUAGAAUGGAAGCCUGUGAUUUUCCUGGCAUCAUGCAUGACUGAGAAGGUCAGUGUGGCUAAUUCUGAGCUUCAACAUCAGGAAACCCGUAGUUCUUCACACUGAGCCGCCUCCUGCAGCACAGUCAUCCUUGGUAAUAAAGCUGAUAUUUUAAUCAAUAUCUGUCUUACUCUUUCA